UGGGGAAUAUUGCGCAAUGGGCGAAAGCCUGACGCAGCGACGCCGCGUGAGGGAUGAAGGUUUUCGGAUCGUAAACCUCUGUCAGAAGGGAAGAAACCGCACUGUGCUAAUCAGCAGUGCCUUGACGGUACCUUCAAAGGAAGCACCGGCUAACUCCGUGCCAGCAGCCGCGGUAAUACGGAGGGUGCAAGCGUUAAUCGGAAUUACUGGGCGUAAAGCGCACGUAGGCUGCUUUGUAAGUCAGGGGUGAAAUCCCACGGCUCAACCGUGGAACUGCCUUUGAUACUGCUUAGCUUGAAUCCGGGAGAGGGUGGCGGAAUUCCAGGGGUAGGAGUGAAAUCCGUAGAUAUCUGGAGGAACAUCAGUGGCGAAGGCGGCCACCUGGACCGGUAUUGACGCUGAGGUGCGAAAGCGUGGGGAGCAAACAGG
rnacentral:rRNA from 1 species